CACGUAGGGCGCAAGCGUUUGUCCGGAAUUAUUGGGCGUAAAGAGCUCGUAGGCGGUCUGUUGCGUCCGCUGUGAAAACUCGGGGCUUAACCCCGAGCCUGCAGUGGAUACGGGCAGACUAGAGGUAGGUAGGGGAGAAUGGAAUUCCCGGUGUAGCGGUGAAAUGCGCAGAUAUCGGGAGGAACACCGGUGGCGAAGGCGGUUCUCUGGGCCUUACCUGACGCUGAGGAGCGAAAGCGUGGGGAGCGAACAGGAUUAGAACUAC
rnacentral:rRNA from 1 species